GCAGGGCGUGGUGGCGCGUGCCUGUAGUCCCAGCUACUCAGGAGGCUGAGGCAGGAGAAUUGCUUGAACCCGGGAGGCGGAGGUUGCAGUGAGCCGAGAUCGCACCAAUGCACUUCAGCCUGGGCGACUGAGCGAGACUCUGUCUUAAAAAAAAAAAAAAAAGAUAUUAUGCUGAAAAUGAAUGCCCAGAGCUGAGUUUUAUUUCUGUCCUUUAGUGUUUGUUACCUUUUUUUUUUUUUAACGGAGUCUCGUUCUGUCGCCAGGCUGAAGUGCAGCGGCGAAAUCUCGGCUCACUGCAACCUCCGCCUCCCGGGUUCAAGCGAUUCUCCUGCCUCAG
rnacentral:SRP_RNA from 1 species